GUUUUUUCAAAAGCGCCUGAACUGGACGCACGGACGGAAACAGCGAUCCAGUUGACGAGGUGGAGGAGUAUCGAACAUCGGCGGAUGCCUCCCGGUGUAUAGCCGCACCGAAAGAGCGUUUUUCGAAAUCCGGCAGGUGACUGACGGGACAAGAGACGCUUUGGCUACAA
rnacentral:ncRNA from 2 species